rnacentral:rRNA from 1 species
AUGGAGGCGGCUCUGGUGAGUGCAGCGACGGGGGCCUUGAAACCCGUCCUGGAGAAGCUGGGCGCUCUGGUGGGCGAUAAGUACAAGCGGUUCAAGGGUGUGCGUGGCGAGAUCAAAUCGCUCACUCAUGAACUAGCCACGAUGGAUGCAUUUCUUCUGAAGAUGUCGGAGGAGGAGGAUCCUGGCGCUCAGGAUAAGGCGUGGAUGAAUGAGGUGCGGGAGCUCUCCUAUGAUAUGGAGGACUCCAUCAACGACUUCAUGCAGAGUGUUGACGCCGAAGAUACAAAGCCAGAUGGCUUCUUGAAGAAGAUGGAGAACUUGUUGGGGAAGAUAAAGGCUCGACGCCGGAUCGGCAACGAGAUACAAGAUCUGAAGAAGCAAAUUAUUGAGGUGGCUGAGAGGAAUGAAAGGUACAAGGCCCGUGAGGCCUUCUCCAAGAACAAAAAUGCAACCAUUGACCCUAGAGCUCUUGCCAUCUUUCAGCAUGCCUCCGAGCUUGUCGGAAUUGAUGAACCCAAGUCUGAGAUAAUCAAGCUGUUAACUAAAGGUCCGUCGACACAACAGAAAAUGAAGUUGGUUUCCAUCGUGGGAUCUGGAGGAAUGGGGAAGACAACUCUUGCAAACCAAGUGUAUCAAGAUCUCAGAGAAAAAUUUAAAUAUCAGGCCUUCUUAUCCGUGUCAAGGAAUCCAGACAUCAUGAAUAUCCUACGGACUAUUCUUAGUGCAGUUAGUGGCCAACUUUACGCCAACACCGAAGCAGGGAGUAUACAACAGCUCAUUAUCAAGAUCACUGGUUUCCUACUGGACAAAAGAUAUUUGGUUGUUCUUGACGAUAUAUGGGAUGUGGUUACAUGGCAUACUAUUAAGAAUGCAUUUCCUGCUACAAGUUCUGGCAGUAUCAUAAUCACCACUACUCGUAUAAAUGAUGUUGCUGAAUCAUGUCGUUCAACACCAUUUAGUGGAGAUAUUUAUUGCAUAAGGCCUCUUGAUAUGGUGCACUCUAGGCAGUUAUUUUACACAAGACUAUUCAUCUCUGAAGAAAAUUGCCCCGCAUAUCUUAAAAAAGUUUCUGAGAAUAUUUUGAAAAAAUGUGAUGGGUUGCCAUUGGCAAUCAUUGCUAUAUCUGGUUUGUUGGCUAAUACUGAAAGGACAGAGGGUCCAUGGAAACAAGUUGAAGAUUCAAUUGGUCGAGCACUUCAAAGAAAUCCCAUUGUUGAAGAAAUGAUGAAGAUAUUGUCACUUAGUUACUUUGAGCUGCCUGCUCAUCUAAAAUCUUGUCUUUUAUGUUUGAGUAUAUUCCCCGAAGAUUCUGUUAUCAACAAGAAAGUUUUGAUAAAUAGGUGGAUUGCUGAAAGAUUAAUUCAUACAGAAGCAGGAUAUAGUAGAACAUAUGAGCUUGGUGAAAGGUGUUUUAAUGAGCUCAUCAAUAGGAGUUUGAUCCAACCUGGGGAGACAGACAUCUUUGAUAGGGUCAAGAGUUGUCGACUUCAUGACACAAUUCUUGAUUUCAUCAUAUCCAAAUCCAUCGAAGAAAACUUUGUUACAUUGGUAGGCGUUCCUAGUUUAACUGUUGGGUCAAAAUGCAAAGUUCGUCGGCUCUCCCUGCAAGUCGGCAAACAAAAAGAACUAAUAGUGCCAAGAGGCUUGGUGUUGUCUCAUGCCCGAUCACUUGAUGUGUUUGGGGUAUCAAUGAAAAUCCCUUCCAUGGAUGAGUUCAGGCAUUUGCGUUUUCUGGACCUUGAACAUUGCAGACAACUGGAAAACCAUCAUCUUGAAAAUAUAGAGAUAUUGUUUCAGCUGAGGUACUUGAGCCUCCUUGAAGCGAAUAAAGUUAGUAAGCUCCCAGAACAAAUCGGACAUCUAUGGUGCUUAGAAAUACUGGAGUUAAGAGGCACCUCUGUUUGUGAGUUGCCAGCAUCUAUUGUCAAUCUCAAGAGACUGGUGCACCUAUUAGUAAACCAGAAUGUUACACUUCCUUGUGGAAUUUCCAAGCUGCAAGCACUGGAGAAAUUGAAGCUUGUGAGUGUCUAUAGCCAGUCAUUUAACUUCCUGCAAGAAUUUGAGCAGCUGCAGAGUCUAAAGGUAUUGACCCUUGAUUUUGAGGAUUAUAGUUCUGCUGGCCGAGUGAACGCUGAAAAUGAGUCUAAGAAAACUAUUAUUGUCGCUUCCCUUAAAAACCUAGGGAACCUUCUCUCUCUAACUAUUUGGGAUGGCCCCGAAUUAGUAGGGGAAUCUCUGUGCCCUAUACCACUUAGCCUUCGGAAGCUUGCGGUUUGGCGUUAA